GGGGGUAUAACUCAGUGGCUAGAGUGGAAGAUUGCAGAUCUUCUGGUCCAGAGUUCGAAUCUCUGUGCCCCCU